rnacentral:hammerhead_ribozyme from 1 species
AUCCAGCUGAUAAGUCCCAAAUAGGACGAAACGCACAUCCUGUAU